CUCUUGUUAAACUUCAAACAGUUAGUGACUGCCCAGCCUCCAAGUUGUCAAGAUCUCUAUGCCAAUCUCUAUGUCAAGAUCUCUAUCCCCAAGAUAUUCAACAACUUCUCUUUAUUUAGAAUUGUUAGCAAACCUACUUGGUAAACAUUCAAGUCUUGCAUCUAUAUAAUUUAUUAAAGCAUUGAAGAGAACUGGCCCCAUAUUGGAGGCUUGAAGAACCCCACUGGUGACUAGCUGCCAGCCUGAUAUAACCCCAUUUACAUUACUAUUAUAUUUACUGUAAUUCUUUGAGCUUGUUCUGUUAGCGAAUUGUUCACCUGUCAUAUUCUAUAUUUGUCUAACUAUAAGCUGGAUGUUUUCUCCAGAAGGAUACUGUGAAAAACAGUAUUGAAAGCUUUGCUGAAAUCCAAAAAGUCUCAUCUACUGUUUUCCCUUGCUCAACUAGAUGGGUAACCUUGUCAUAAAAAGAAAUAAUUUCAUUAGACAGAGCUUUCCCCUCCUGAACUUGUGUUCGCUAUGACCGAUGAUUGUGUGGUGUGGGGAGUGUACUGCUGAAUCUGUUGCAUAAUACCCUUCUUGAUGCUGUUCUUGUUACUUCAGUGAAUUGUGCUAAUGUCUUGGUCAUUGCUGCAGGUCUAAAGCUGACUUUUCUACGUGGGUUGGUUUUUUUUUCUUUCUUUUUUUCUUUCUUCCUUUUUUUUUUUUCUUUUUCUUUCUUUUUGGCUAAUCAUUUUGGCUGUGUUACUCCUUGGGAAUAUUUAUACACAUUUUCUCAAUCUCUUACUCUCUCAUUUUAAAACCUGGAAUUCAGAUUGCAGACAGUCAGCUGAAUUUGCAAAGGCUGGUAUGGGGUUGUGGCUCAUUUUACAUAAUCACAGAAUUCUAAGGGCUGGAACCUCUGGACCUCCAGAGAUCAUCAAGUCCAGAUCCCCUGCAAAGCAGCCCCCCUAAAGCAGGCAUUUUCUCAUUACUUUGUGAGAAGCCCCAUUGAGGUUCACUUUAUAGCACUUAAGAUGCUGUGUCUGUAUAAGACGCACGGAGAUCAAAAUGCAAGAUGUCUUUAUUGUGUUUAUUCCAUCACUUCACAACAUAGGGGCAAUUAUUCAUGCAUGCCUGGAAAUCAGGUUCUGUGGAUCAAAUGGAAAAAAACAACACUGAAAAUCAUGUAGGAGGGAGUCUGCAGAAGAGGAGAUAUUUUUGCCAUGGACAUUUCCCUUUUUCACUUGACAACAGGAAGAUGCACUUCAGAGAUUUCAGAAGCUAUACUAUUCCCUAGUUGCAGUGAAUAUUAGUUAUUUUCCAAAGGAAAGAGGUAAUGCAUAGGAAACCAAGCUUUUAGAUUCUAAAAGAAAGAAUAUUGGACUGUUGUCCCUGUAAUAAAAUUCAGUACAUCAAGUGAAUGACUUACUGUUUAAUGAAACAUGGAACAAUAUCGAUUGAAGCUAUUAGGUGAAGAUAUCAGAAAUACUCUUUUGACACUGUACUAGGAAUCACUGUUGAAAUUGUGAAAUUUGCUGGUAAUAGCAAGUGAGCUCAUGGUAAACAUUCUCUUUAGCUCAUGCCAUAGUGACAUUAAUUGCUUGUGAUAUCGCUCAGUGAUUAAAGCCUUCUGAGAACAUAUACACGCAAAGGGACAAUAUUCUUGGUGAUUUGUCUCUAUUACCAGGGAAAAUGCACCAAAUUUGGAGUUGGCUUGGUAUUUACUUUAAAAUAUCUAAAGAAAUUCUAAUCUGUGGCUUCUUUUAUUGUCUUUGAAAGCUUCAGAGACCUAACCGCUGAUGACAGUAAACACAAGAGCUAUUAGACUAUUUCAUCAUUCAACCAUUACACCAAGAAAAACAAAUAAAUAAAUUAGUAUUUGGCACCUUUAAAACUGUGAGAGUUUUUCUGAAUCUGCAUUUGUAUAAAUACACCUUAGAAUUGAGGCAGUGAUCAGGGCCUUCAUCCUGCAGGCCUUGUUUAAGCAUUCUGUUGCAUAAUUUUUUUUCUUGUAGUAAAUCUUCUUGAUUGGGUCAUGGCUCUUAUGGUCAACAUACUGUUGUUUAUAUAUUAUUAAAUAUGUUUCUAAUACCUAUUUCUGGCUGAAAGUAGAGAUUUUAGAAUUGUCACACAGUAGCAUCCGAAUGCCAAAUUCAAUUUAUAAAGCUUUUAAAAUCUGUUUCUAAAAGUAUUGUAUGCAAAGUUGGUAUGCCCAAAAUGUAUGUAUCUUUUGAAAACUGCUCAUUCAUUUAAUAAAUAAACAUUGUUCUGAAGCU
ensembl:lncRNA